AGCAGCCGCGGUAAUUCCAGCUCCAAUAGCGUAUAUUAAAGUUGUUGCAGUUAAAAAGCUCGUAGUUGAAUUUCGGGAUCAAUACGUCGGUCGUGCUUCGGUACGUACUGGCGUCAUUGGUUUCUCCCUUCCGACGAACCAUGAUGUCAUUAACUUGGUGUCAUGGGAAAUCAGGACUGUUACCUUGAAAAAAUUAGAGUGUUUAAAGCAGGCUCACGCUUGAAUACAUUAGCAUGGAAUAAUGAAAUAGGACGUUCGAUCCUAUUUUGUUGGUUUCUAGGAUCAACGUAAUGAUUAAUAGGGAUAGUUGGGGGCAUUAGUAUUCAAUUGUCAGAGGUGAAAUUCUUGGAUUUAUUGAAGACUAACUACUGCGAAAGCAUUUGCCAAGGAUGUUUUCAUUAAUCAAGAACGAAAGUUAGGGGAUCGAAGACGAUCAGAUACCGUCGUAGUCUUAACCAUAAACUAUGCCGACUAGGGAUCGGAUGAUGUUAAUUUUUAAUGACUCAUUCGGCGUCCG
rnacentral:rRNA from 1 species